GUGAAAUUCGCAGACGCAUGCCUUCACGGUCUAAGAGAGGAUGCCGGCAGUGUGCUUUUGUGGCUUCACAGGUAACGGACCUCCUGUUCUUCGCAAUCAAGGAGGCUUUGGGCGCGGAGGAGCUGAGAAGGUUUACCAUCUAGGUCCAUUGAAUGAGUAUGAGAAGUAUGGAAUGUUUGUGACAUGAAAAGUUGCUUGGUGAAAACCUCAAUUCACUGGUAGGUGGAUGGAUAUGGACAAGAUUGGAUUGGAAGAAAGCAAAAGAACUUGCAUUAAGCAUUCAAAAGGGAGUUUCCUUCAAGAAAUGAAAAUGGAGAUGGCAUCAAGAAUCCCUUUUUUAAUAUGUAUUCUGUGUCAUACAAUAGAAGUGAAUGAGACAACUAUGCAUGCUUAUAGAAUUCAUGAAGGAUAAAAAACUGCUAAUUCGUACAAAGAUAUCGAGCCCUGCCCUACCAGCAACGGUCGGGAUCAUUCAAUACAAUA